ACUUCCUCUUCUUCUAAAUCCUCUGAAAACUCCUCUCUAAAUCCUUCAUCCUACACUCACGUUUACACCCUCAACCACCCUAAAACACCUUCUUUUACCACCCAAAUGUCUUCUUAUAACCCCACAGUAGAUCACCACCUCCAGCCAACCUUCCCUCUCGUCACAAGACUCAACUGAAACCCAAAAACGGAGGCAGCAGGAGGCUGCCAUCACAGCUCCACCACCCCCUGUCACCCCGUUGCUCCAUUGUCACCCUCCCCUUACCUACCAGAAAACCACCUCUACCGCUACUGUGUACUACCUUGUGACACCCUCCAUCCUUCUCUUCCUUCGUCUUCAUCAAAACAGUAGCAGAAAACCAACAGCAGGAGGCUGCCGGCCUCCACCCAUCAUCACCGAACUACCAUUCUGCUGCAAGCUACCUCCACUGGCCACCACUUGUUGCCAUAGGAAAUCGAACUAAUCCCGGAGAUCACGACCUCACGGCAAUACAUUCUGGUCUUCAGAACUACUCAUUUACCACUCGAUAAGGAAAUCAGUGAAAUUUCGGGCACACUCAGACGAUGGAAAACAUGGCUCGCAAGUUCUUUAAUUUUUUUUUACUUUUGAACUGUUAUGCCUAACUGUUAAGGCAAACUUGUAUUAUUAUUUUAUUACUAUCUGUAAGAACCAUGUAUGAAAAUAUAAAAAUGUAAUGAAAUGUUGUUUUGUUUAUUGUUGUACUUGUGCUGUAUAUUCAAUUUAUCUGUGAUCCAUGAACUUAGUCGCACGGCCCGGUA